GACGAACGCUGGCGGCGGGCUUAACACAUGCAAGUCGAACGGAAAGGCCCUGCUUUUGUGGGGGGCUCGAGUGGCGAACGGGUGAGUAACACGUGAGUAACCUGCCCUUGACUGGGGGAUAACUUCAGGAAACUGGGGCUAAUACCGGAUAGGAGCUCCUGCUGCAUGGUGGGGGUUGGAAAGUUUCGGCGGUUGGGGAUGGACUCGCGGCUUAUCAGCUUGUUGGUGGGGUAGUGGCUUACCAAGGCUUUGACGGGUAGCCGGCCUGAGAGGGUGACCGGCCACAUUGGGCCUGAGCUAAGGCCCAGACUACUCCGGGAGGCAGCAGUGGGGAAUAUUGCACAAUGGGCGGAAGCCUGAUGCAGCAACGCCGCGUGGGGGAUGACGGCCUUCGGGUUGUAAACCGCUUUCGCCUGUGACGAAGCGUGAGUGACGGUAAUGGGUAAAGAAGCCCCGGCUAACUACGUG
rnacentral:rRNA from 1 species